GGUGAACCUGCGGAAGGAUCAUUAUCGAGUUUUGAACGCGGGUUGUCGCUGGUCCCCUCCUUACACGAGAAGGGGGCAUGUGCACGCCUGGGUCAAUCCACUCUUCCAACCCCUGUGCACUUGUUGUAGGUUCAGGUCGGACGGUCGACUCUUGGUCGUCGACUCGAAAGCUUGGCCUAUGUUUUCUUACGAACGCUUCAGUCAUAGAAUGUAAAACAUCGCGGAUAACGCAUUUUAAAUACAACUUUCAGCAACGGAUCUCUUGGCUCUCGCAUCGAUGAAGAACGCAGCGAAAUGCGAUAAGUAAUGUGAAUUGCAGAAUUCAGUGAAUCAUCGAAUCUUUGAACGCACCUUGCGCUCCUUGGUAUUCCGAGGAGCAUGCCUGUUUGAGUGUCAUGGAAUUCUCAACCUCAUGAAACCUUUCAUGAGGCUUGGACUUGGAGGUUGUGUCGGCUUGCAAAGGUCGACUCCUCUGAAAUGCAUCAGCGUGAACCUUUACGGAUCGCCCUUCGGUGUGAUAAACGUCUACGCCGUGGUCGUGAAGUAUGAUCGUGUUCGUGCUUCCAAUCGUCUCCUUGCGAGACAAACAUCAUCUUUUGACAAUCUGACCUCAAAUCAGG
rnacentral:rRNA from 1 species